rnacentral:rRNA from 1 species
AUUGAACGCUGGCGGCAGGCCUAACACAUGCAAGUCGAGCGGAUGAAGGGAGCUUGCUCCUGGAUUCAGCGGCGGACGGGUGAGUAAUGCCUAGGAAUCUGCCUGGUAGUGGGGGAUAACGUCCGGAAACGGGCGCUAAUACCGCAUACGUCCUGAGGGAGAAAGUGGGGGAUCUUCGGACCUCACGCUAUCAGAUGAGCCUAGGUCGGAUUAGCUAGUUGGUGGGGUAAAGGCCUACCAAGGCGACGAUCCGUAACUGGUCUGAGAGGAUGAUCAGUCACCCUGGAACUGGGACACGGUCCAGACUCCUACGGGAGGCAGCAGUGGGGAAUAUUGGACCAUGGGCCAAAGCCUGAUCCAGCCAUGCCGCGUGUGUGAAGAAGGUCUUCGGAUUGUAAAGCACUUUAAGUUGGGAGGAAGGGCAGUAAGUUAAUACCUUGCUGUUUUGACGUUACCAACAGAAUAAGCACCGGCUAACUUCGUG